UGCUACAUCAAAUAACAGCUAGGCAUCAGCUCGAGCAUUGCUUAUUUUCGAACGAAAUUUUUCCAACCCUCCUCCUUUUUUGUAUCUAACGACGCCGGCGCGCACUGUUCCAGCUGUUUUUCGAUCAAGGCGUAGGAAAUUCCGGAACAGAAGACUAAAGUGUCAUGGCUGCUGGGAGUGGCGCUGCCGACAGAAAGGCUCUCUCAGAAUAUGGCGAGUUCAUUUCGAUCUUUUACCUGUGACGGGCGAAAGAAAAAUCCUCGCCAGUAAAGCCAAAUCCUUAGAAAAAGGAAUUUUUCCCCAGUUAGGCACACAUAACUGUUCUAUGUCAAUUGUGAUAAUAGAUCUGGAUGUUUGUGGAUAGGUUAUAGUGUGGAUUUAUAAAAGAAGAACUGUUUAGUCCAUUAAAAAAGAUGAACAGUUAAGAA